rnacentral:rRNA from 1 species
GGUUCAAUUCGACGCAACGCGAAGAACCUUACCCAGGCUUGAACAGCGAGUGACCACUCACGAAAGUGAGCUUCCGCAAGGACACUCGUAGAGGUGCUGCAUGGCUGUCGUCAGCUCGUGUCGUGAGAUGUUGGGUUAAGUCCCGCAACGAGCGCAACCCUUGUUUGCUGUUGCCAUCAGGUAAUGCUGGGCACUCUGCAAAGACUGCCGGUGAUAAACCGGAGGAAGGUGGGGAUGACGUCAAGUCAGCAUGGCCUUUAUGUCUGGGGCUACACACGUGCUACAAUGGCCGACACAAACCGUCGCGAGCCCGCGAGGGGGAGCUAAUCGGAGAAAGUCGGUCUCAGUUCGGAUCGUAGGCUGCAACUCGCCUGCGUGAAGUUGGAAUCGCUAGUAAUCGCGGAUCAGCACGCCGCGGUGAAUACGUUCCCGGGCCUUGUACACACCGCC